rnacentral:lncRNA from 1 species
GGAUGUUGAUUGCUGAAGUAGAUUACUUUAACAGUAUUGCAAGUUGUUUUUACCUACAUGUGACAUCUGAACUAGCAGUUUUGUCUAGUACAAUCUCUCUUUUAAAGCUUUGAAUGAUGCUUCGAAUCCUGAAAGGUGGGUUAUUAUGCUUUGUUUGGCUAUUAAGCCAUACCUACAGGACCAAAUAUAUACACAUGGUAUAGUUAUCCCUGCAGGAUCAUGCUUGUGUGGCAAUAAUACAUUCUAAGGCAAACAAAAACAUGAGAUUAUAUUGAUAUUAUAUUAUAUAUGUACAUCUAUUGUCGCUGUACUGGUAUUCCUAUAUCUUUCCAUCUGUACAAAAAACAAAAGCACCAAAUAUAUGCUUACCUCCGCUAUGUCAGGGGCACUUAGACAAGAAAGGAUAUGGUUUCAGAUAUGAGUUAGAAAAAAUUUCAAGCCAUCAUCAAGCAAUGGAGGAAGCUAUAGAUCCUGGAGCAUCGAACAUAUAAAUCACGCUAGGCAACCCGCCAUUUUGGAGGCAUUGUCAUGACGCAGCAGUAUGGGUCGCUCGAUUCUUUUAUGACUGUACUUUUUUGGUUGCUGGCAGUCGGUACACCGUUAAUUGUUUCUCCACCUGAGUUGUACACUACCUUUUUAUUUUUAUUUAGAUUCUUUCGGAUUUCCAGUUUAUUAGCUGCAAAAGGGGUCCAGUAAUCUACAUUCUACAUAAAGCUUAGGCUUUAAUUGAUUGUUAUGUCAAGUGAGAUCAUGCAUGAUAAGGAUUAUUGCUGUUGGAGGAAACAUUGUGUACAAUAUGUUUGGUGGUAGUUAAAAGGAGGGGAACAUAUUAUUGUGAUUUUAUAGUUUCUUGGAAGUAGUUUCAUCUAUUUGUUUACAACAUUGUUGGUUUGCUGCCUUUUAGUAUUGGAGUGUGUAAUCACACACGUUCUUAUACCUUCUAGGUUAUUUCUCGUUUUAACUCCUCUCCUGUGGAUUCUCCUAAGUUGCAGGCGAAGAUGAACUCCUGAUGGUCUACGCCGUCCUGCUUUGCCAUGGAGGUAAAUGAGCCGAAGUGUACCAGGGAAUAUGCAUAUACACCACACCUAAUCCACCACUAUUUUCUUGUGGCGACUGGCGAGGAGAAGAUACAAAUGCCUUCCAAUCCACCACUUAUCCCCACUACUAUUUCUUUGCCAGUGACCUGGGUUUCCAUGUACUUGAUAGAUACUUUCCUUAUGAUAUGUGUUUUAUGUAUGUAUAUAUGUUUCUGGCCAUAAAUAUAUAGCUAGCACCAACUUUUACUGCUUUCCGUGGAACUUUGACGAGUACCCUUUAAUCCACUAAUUUUGGACCUGUUAGUUUGGGCACUGAAAACUUUGAAAAGUACCUUUGAAUUAGAGGACUAAACUAACAGGUCCGAAAUCCUGAAGCCCAAAUGAAUCAGUUUUCAGUCUAAAUGAAUGGUGUUAUAGGAGAAGCUAAUCUGAAUGUAUGCACGGGAUUACUUCACUUGACGUACAUUAUCUGGAUCCUUGGCCACUUUUAUGCAAAAGCCUUCGAUCUCUUACUCCACUAUAGAGUUUGAUUGAGAAGUUUGGGCCUUUGGUCUUCUCUGUUACCUGAAACUUUAAAUCUGACUACAAAGCCUCAAAAGUCAAAACUCAAUUCAUGUAAAAAUCGGCAAGAGUUUAGGGGAUUUGGCUCCACAUUUUUUGAUCUUGUUAGUACUUUCACCUUGCUAAUUCAAAAUGUGUGAAUGUAGAGUUGGAGAAACUACCACAAGUCAAGGUGAGACCCAUGCCUGAAAAGGGGAAAUCACUCUGGAGUCGGCUCAAGAACAAGGCUAGACCCCAAUCUUGUUUACUCACUGUAUUCACUAUCUAUAAAGUUGUAUGCUUAUUUUCUUGGCAAAUAAGUGUUGGAAUAUUGGCUUCUCAUACCUAUGUACAGUAACUUAAGUAUAUCCCCAGGAGACUAUAUGAUCAGCAAUCAUACAAAGUAAUCAAAAUGAUGUGUUUUCUUUCAAAUAGAUAGACAAAAGGUGGACCGAGGGCUUCUGGCUAUUGCUGGAAGUUGAUUGGAGGUCUUCACGUGCAGAAAUGCUAGUUUUGUAGAUUAGGCAA